GGGUGUGAGGCUUAUCUGGCUGUGACAUUGUCACUCCAUCGAUGGCCAGGGGUGAUUUGGCUGAUCUGGCUGGCUGGGUGUGUGUCUGCUUCCUCCCUCACCACUUCUUGUGCAUCCAUCUGUCCCUCCUGAACCUGUGUUCCAGGUGGAGGAGGAGACCACCUCUGACAGAGGAGGUGACAACCUCCACUUCAUCAGUCGAGGGUGUCUGAGUAGAUGCCCUGUCCUGUUAGAAACUCCAAACAAAUUCUCAAGAAUUCAGAGUAAGAAAAGCAUGCUAAGAGUGAAUAAAACAAAAAAGUUUUCAGAAGACGUAGUGUUUGUGUUCAAUUUU
rfam:Fukomys damarensis contig113734, whole genome shotgun sequence.